rnacentral:rRNA from 1 species
GACGAACGCUGGCGGCGUGCUUAACACAUGCAAGUCGAACGGAAAGGCCCUGCUUUUGUGGGGUGCUCGAGUGGCGAACGGGUGAGUAACACGUGAGUAACCUGCCCUUGACUUUGGGAUAACUUCAGGAAACUGGGGCUAAUACCGGAUAGGAGCUCCUGCUGCUUGGUGGGGGUUGGAAAGUUUCGGCGGUUGGGGAUGGACUCGCGGCUUAUCAGCUUGUUGGUGGGGUAGUGGCUUACCAAGGCUUUGACGGGUAGCCGGCCUGGGAGGGUGACCGGCCACAUUGGGACUGAGAUACGGCCCAGACUCCUACGGGAGGCAGCAGUGGAGAAUAUUGCACAAUGGGCGGAAGCCUGAUGCAGCAACGCCGCGUGCGGGAUGACGGCCUUCGGGUUGAAAACCGCUUUCGCCUGUGACGAAGCGUGAGUGACGGUAAUGGGUAAAGAAGCACCGGCUAACUACGUG